GAUGAACGCUGACAGAAUGCUUAACACAUGCAAGUCCACUUGAACUUCGGUUUGGGUGGCGGACGGGUGAGUAACGCGUACAGAACUUGCCUCACAGCUAGGGACAACAUUUGGAAACGAAUGCUAAUACCUGAUAUUAUGAUUUUAGGGCAUCCUAGAAUUAUGAAAGCUAUAUGCGCUGUGAGAGAGCUUUGCGUCCCAUUAGCUAGUUGGAGAGGUAACGGCUCACCAAGGCGAUGAUGGGUAGCCGGCCUGAGAGGGUGAACGGCCACAAGGGGACUGAGACACGGCCCUUACUCCUACGGGAGGCAACAGUGGGGAAUAUUGGACAAUGGACCAAGAGUCUGAUCCAGCAAUUCUGUGUGCACGAUGAAGUUUUUCGGAAUGUAAAGUGCUUUCAGUUGGGAAGAAAAAAAUGACGGUACCAACAGAAGAAGUGACGGCUAAAUACGUG
rnacentral:rRNA from 1 species